UGCAAUCUAUGAUGAAUGCUAUUCCACGUUACUGAGCGUGACUGUGAUUAGUAACUAAAUAAUCACCAUCUUUCGGCUGAGGUUGCA